CCUACGGGGGGCAGCAGUGAGGAAUAUUGGUCAAUGGGCGCGAGCCUGAACCAGCCAAGUAGCGUGAAGGACGAAGGUGCCAAGCAUUGUAAACUUCUUUUGUCAAGGGACAAAAUCAGGCUCGAGAGCCUGACCGAGGGUACUUGAAGAAAAAGCAUCGGCUAACUCCCUGCCAGCAGCCGCGGGAAUACGGAGGAUGCGAGCGUUAUCCGGAUUUAUUGGGUUUAAAGGGUGCGUAGGCGGACUGUUAAGUCAGCGGUAAAAGCCCGGGGCUCAACCCCGGCGAGCCGUUGAAACUGGCUGUCUUGAGAUGGAGAGAGGUAUGCGGAAUGCGCAGUGUAGCGGUGAAAUGCUUAGAUAUUGCGCAGAACUCCGAUUGCGAAGGCAGCAUACCGGCGGCGAUCUGACGCUGAGGCACGAAAGCGUGGGUAUCGAACAGGAUUAGAUACCCGGGUAGUC
rnacentral:rRNA from 1 species